GCUGCGGGAUCAAACACAAAAAGAAAUUACAACAUGGCUGCAAACAGCAGGGCUAUUUCACAAUGACAGUAGGAUAGGACACGGAACUUACAUGAAACAUGUUAUAGACUCUUCAGUUGACAAUGCGACUUAAUGAGGAUGGUCAUCAUCGGCGAGAUGGACAUCGGUGGCGGAGGAAUGACGGGACAGACAGAUGAAGUGCUGCUGGAUGUUUUAUUAUAGUCACCGUGACAUGCAUGCAGACAGUACAAAUUGUACGUGGAAUCAUGGAUGGGGGAGGGGGGGGACACAAACAAAACCGAACCAACGUUUGCUUUAUAUGCCAAUUUUCAAAAAGCGAUACAUUGUGGGGCUAAGAUAAAAUUAUUGUCUUAAAUUGUGUAUUUUAUCAAAUAUUUUGCUUUCAAUAAAAUAUGUAUUAGCAUUUUUAUUUUUUUAGAUAUA